CCUACGGGAGGCAGCAGUGGGGAAUAUUGGGCAAUGGGCGCAAGCCUGACCCAGCAACGCCGCGUGAAGGAUGAAGGCUUUCGGGUUGUAAACUUCUUUUAUCAGGGAAGAAGCAAGUGACGGUACCUGAUGAUUAAGCCACGGCUAACUACGUGCCAGCAGCCGCGGUAAUCCGUAGGUGGCAAGCGUUAUCCGGAUUUACUGGGUGUAAAGGGCGUGUAGGCGGGAGUGCAAGUCAGAUGUGAAAAAUAUGGGCUCAACCCAUAGCCUGCAUUUGAAACUGUACUUCUUGAGGGCUGGAGAGGCAGUCGGAAGUCGUUGUGUAGCGGUGAAAUGCGUAGAUAUACGGAGGAACACCAGUGGCGAAGGCGGAUUGCUGGACAGUAACUGACGCUGAGGCGCGAAAGCGUGGGUAGCAAACAGGAUUAGAUACCCCAGUAGUC
rnacentral:rRNA from 1 species